UUUGCUAUAUGGUUACUAUGGUUACUUGUUUGUUUAACACUAGGUCAGUCCUGAUCCAGUAGACCUAUGAUCAAAGACGUUCCAGCUGUGACCAUCCCACCUUUUAUUCAGACAUAUAUUGUGUAUCUAGGACUACAUUAUCUAAUGUACAGUAUAGUAGUUUGUAUUAGUGGCU